UACGAAGGGGGCUAGGGGUGUACGGAAUUUCUGGGCGUAAAGCGCGUGUAGGCGGGCCGUUAAGUCGGGGGUGAAAGCCCAUAGCUCAACUCUGGUACUGCCUUCGAUACUGGCGGCAUGGAGCAUGAUAGAGGCGAGUGGAAUUGCGAGUGUAGAGGUGAAAUUCGUAGAUAAUCGCAGGAACACCAGUGGCGAAGGCGACUCGCUGGAUCAUUGCUGACGCUGAGACGCGCAAGCCUUGGGAGCAAACAGG
rnacentral:rRNA from 1 species